UAAGCUGCAUGACGGAAUCUCC
rnacentral:piRNA from 1 species